UAAACCCAUACAUAUUUGGUCAAAUAAUUUUUGAAAAAGGAGCCAAGAAUAUACAAUGGAGAAAAGAUUGCCUCUUUGAUAAAUAGGAGUGGAAAAAUUGGAUAGCCACACACAAAGAAUGAAACUGGACCCCUAUCUUACACCAUACAGAUUGGAUAGCCACACACAAAGAAUGAAACUGGACCCCUAUCUUACACCAUACAGAAAAAUCAACUUAAAAUGGAGUAAAACCUGAACAUGAGACCUGAAGCCACAAACUCCCAGAAGAAAACAUAGAGGAAACAGACCUUACUUAACCCAAGGGUUCACGUGCAAGCGAUUUGUUGGAAGUUGCUAGGAACACAGAAGAAACUCAAUCAAGAACAAAGAUUUGCUUACUGGAAUAACAACUUUUUGAAUUUUAUGGAGGCCCUGUCUUCAUCACUGGGGAUCCAGUAGGAAACAAGACAGGCGCCACUACAGUCCAGGAGGAGGAGGAGAUGACAAACAUUGAAUAAACAGUCACAAAUGUGAUUACUGUUGAGAAAGAAGAAAUAGAGAGGGUUUUUUCCUACAUAGCAUUUUCUUUUAUUCAAAUUGGCAGUGAAUAGAUGAACACGAGAUUGGGAUGACAAACAAAUAAUUUUCCUUUUAACACUUACCUGAAUUCCAAAUGAAUAAACUACACACAAAGUUUUACUUAAUGACUUAUAAACAUAAUGAAAGUAAGUGUUUAUUGAGCAUCUACUUUGCAUCCAAGUGGUUAACGUACAUUCACUGUAACUGGUGGCAGUACCCAAGUGGGCAGUUGCUGUUUUCCGUGCAAACACGAGUUUAAGCCCUCACUCCCUGACGCCCAACCAGCUUGCCACCCCGUCGUCUCUGCUAUAUAGAAAUCCUUGUAGCCCAACUCAAGGUGGUACUUUUAAGUUCAUUUUGUAGAUGAGGAGGCCGAGGUCAGGUUGAUUAAAUAAAUUGCCAAAGGUCUCACUGCUUAUAAACACAAAAGAUAUAACUUGAACUCAAAUCUUGUGGGUUUUUUCUUUAUAGUGCUUCAAUAAUGGUUACGGUUCUCCUUUGUGUCUAUACUGAACACUCAGCUAUAAAAAAAAAUCCCCCCUCCAUUUGGCUCCAUAUACCAUUUUUAGGGCUUCCUCCACCUCAUUUUUUUCCUUUACUCAGAUUUAUGUCUGAAUAAAAAGAAUGAGGAGUUCCUUGAGACCACCAGCAAACAUUUCUGACUGCGUGUCUACAUAGCCGGGCUGAUGCAGGGGUAGGGAGAGAGUGGAGGGUUCAAAGCUGAUAUUCCCAACCUUAGGUUAGAUA